rnacentral:rRNA from 1 species
GACGAACGCUGGCGGCGUGCCUAACACAUGCAAGUCGAGCGAGUGAAUCUCCUACGGGAGUGAAGCUAGCGGCGGACGGGUGAGUAACACGUGGGCAACCUGCCUCAUAGAGGGGAAUAGCCUUUCGAAAGGAAGAUUAAUACCGCAUAAGAUUGUAGCUUCGCAUGAAGUAGCAAUUAAAGGAGCAAUCCGCUAUGAGAUGGGCCCGCGGCGCAUUAGCUAGUUGGUGAGGUAACGGCUCACCAAGGCGACGAUGCGUAGCCGACCUGAGAGGGUGAGCGGCCACAUUGGGGCUGGGACACGGCCCAGACUCCUACGGGAGGCAGCAGUGGGGAAUAUUGCACAAUGGGGGAAACCUUGAUGCAGCAACGCCGCGUGAGUGAUGACGGCCUUCGGGUUGUAAAGCUCUGUCUUCAGGGACGAUAAUGACGGUACCUGAGGAGGAAGCCACAGCUAACUACGUGCCAGCAGCCGCCGUAA